CGCACGGAAUUUGAUCUCGUGUUUUUGGUAGCGGUUCAAUAUCAUUACAUCCUCCACGGCAUCAGCGCCGGGAGCUGAGCCUUUCGUGGGAAUCGAGAGGCUUUUCUGCGUGGGAGCAGAUUCAAAAAAUUCCGUGUUUCAAUUUUUAGUAUUAUUACGAGUCUGAACGCCCAGCAAGGCACGGGGGCCGAGCUGGUCGUGAGACCCAUAGCUGCUACGACUGCUUCGGAUGCGAUCUCCUGGGAGUUGGGUUGUUUGGGAGUGCAACCAUAAUUGGGUGGUAAACUCUACCUAAGGCUAAAUACUGCCGUGAAACCGAUAGCAAACAAGUGCCGUGAGGGAAAGUUGCAAAGAACUUUGAAGAGAAAGUUCAAAAGUACGUGAAACUGCUCAGAGGUAAACGGGUGGGCCCUAAGUUGUCGGUGAUGUAAUGGCAAUAAAACUGUUGUAAUCAGCAAUUAUAGGCACAAGGGAGAGAAAUAGUGUGCAUACUGCUUGCCGUCGAAGUUCCGAAUGGCAGAAGAGAGUCAGCGUUAAGAGCAGGAUGGUCGAAGGGCCGGAGCUUGCUGGUCCAAACUUCGAGUAGCCUAUGAUGAUCCUAGAAAAUAACAAAAUAUGUACAAGUCCCUGUGAAUAUUUAAUAAGGAGUACGAACUAGGCUUGAACUCGCGAUGCCGUAGAAAGUAA
rnacentral:rRNA from 1 species